rnacentral:rRNA from 1 species
GACGAACGCUGGCGGCGUGCUUAACACAUGCAAGUCGAACGGAAAGGCCCUGCUUUUGUGGGGUGCUCGAGUGGCGAACGGGUGAGUAACACGUGAGUAACCUGCCCUUGACUUUGGGAUAACUUCAGGAAACUGGGGCUAAUACCGGAUAGGAGCUCCUGCUGCAUGGUGGGGGUUGGUAAGUUUCGGCGGUUGGGGAUGGACUCGCGGCUUAUCAGCUUGUUGGUGGGGUAGUGGCUUACCAAGGCUUUGACGGGUAGCCGGCCUGAGAGGGUGAACGGCCACAUUGGGACUGAGAGACGGACCAGACUGCUAAGGGAGGCAGCAGGGGGGAAUAUUGCACAAUGGGCGGAAGCCUGAUGCAGCAACGACGCGUGCGGGAUGACGGCCUUCGGGUUGUAAACCGCUUGCGCCUGUGACGAAGCGUGAGUGACGGUAAUGGGUAAAGGAGCACCGGCUAACUACGUG